GGAAAGUUUGUUGCUAUUUGCAGCAGCAAACAGCUAAGAAAUCAAAGGCAACAAUUCAUAACACAGAUCAGCAAAAGUUCCAGGCAGAAGUGAAUGGAAGAAAUUAUGCUCUUGUUACCUACAUUCCUACAUUUGGAGCUGCUGCAUCCCAGCAGAAAGAGUUGCUACUGCCACCUCCAUCAUGCUCAAGCACCUCUAAAACCUGUUAUGAGGCUGUGUCCUGUACCAGGGCACUGCAAGUUAGCCUGAGCUGUUGUUGGUGGUGAGAAAUGUACCCUGCAGAGGCAGCAAAGCACAGGAUAUCAACCAUAGAUGUGCUGAAACCACAGAGCUCCAGCCUGGGAUCUCUGACUUGUAAUCAGAUGGGUGAGGUUUGGGUUAAAUAAAAUACA